AGACCUUAUAAAGAAUUUUUGUUUAAUCUUUAUUCAUCACAGAAAGAAUCCCUAAAGCUAACCACAAAAUUUAACAUCCGCUGACACAUCUCCAUCGAACUACGGGACCAUGGUACGCAAACAGCGAUCGUGACUCGCAUGUGAUGUACAUCCGCCAGAAGUGCGUGACUGUGACACGCACGCGGUGCGUACUUCCGCCGGAACCGUAAGUGCGGUGCGUUGACACGCACGUGAGAGUGGAACGCAUGUAGCGUUCAGAUUUUGUCCCCCCUUAUUUUUUAUAAUGUCAGGAAGCAGAAUUGAUGUUAGUUAACCAGUAAGAAUGGCAUUCCACAUAGUACCAUGAGGUCUUAACACAUUACUAACUAAUAAUAAAUUAAUUAAUCAGCCAGCAGGAAGUGAUGUAAUAUCAAGGGAGCUAUAAAGGGAUGCCCCUAUAUUGCCUCUCAUUCUGUAGUUGGUAUUCAAUGAGGUUGCACUUGUUCCUGUAAAAAGGAAUAGUUUCGUUCAGGAUUUGAAAUUUUCCUAAGUUCUCUGUUUGGUGACAUGUAUAAACAGAGGUAGACUAUAAGGUUCCACCAUUCUUGAUUGAAAAUAGGGAACGUAACAUCAUCUAAUUUCAACCAAAUUUAUAUAUAUUUUUUUGAAGUCUAUCUAGAUAUUAUAUUUAUCGAAUUGAAUAUGUGAUUGGAUGUAAUCAUUGGAUAUUCUAAACCUUUCUAAUCAAUGGUAAUCACUCCUACUAUAAGAACUGAUUCCAAACCCCUGAUGAAGUCCUAACGGACGAAACGCGUUGGGUUUUGCAACGUCUGGUUAACAAAGUCCUUAUCACAGACAUCUGGUUGGAGAUACAUCCAUUUCGAGUUCUGACUGUGAUCACCUGGCUGUAAAAUCCUCACAUCCAACUGUAAUUUAUGUAUAAGAUUGUAAUAUUGUUUUAUAUGAAUUUUUAGAAGGUUGUGUCAAUAACGAACGCUUAGGAUAAAUAUCGUUUGUUUCUGUACAAUAAAAACUUUUAAUUAUUGUCAUACAAAAGGCAUAUUGGCUCCCACGAGAAUCCAUUUCUAUUUGUGAUAUAUAUAUAUAUAUAUAUAUAUAUAUAUAUAUAUAUAUAUAUACAUACAUACAUAUACACACAUACAAUGAGUCCGAAGCAGUGGUUCACAAAUCUUUUUGAAUCGCGGCUCCCUACAGUAUCAAAAGUUUUUAAUAUAUAUAUAUAUAUAUAUAUGUGUGUGUGUAUAUAUAUAUAUAUAUAUAUAUAUAUAUAUAUAUUAAUGCGAAGGAUGAUACAGCGCCACUUGUGGAUUAAGAUCUCAGUGGUAAAAUUGUAUAUAAAAAAAUUGUUAAGAAGAAAUUUAAAACACAACCGCCUUGUUAUAGGUGUCUGCCACCCCUUAAGGUUGCAACACUAGUACAAUGCUGCCUAAAAAGAUAUAUAUAUAUAUAUGUAUAUGUCUUCUCAAUGCAGUGCUAUAAGAUUAACUAUAAAUCAGCGCUGUUAAUGUACGGAUUGAUUGUAAUAUGUAUUAUGUUGUAUUGAUGAGCUAAUGUGCACUGUUGGCUAUUGCCAGAGUCCCAGCCUCUAAUGUGGAUUAUUGGCCUCUGUAUAAGUCUGCUGAUUUGUAUGCUUAUUCAUUGAUUCAUUCUGAUUUAUUCCUUCAUUUCUGAUAUUUCUGCUGAGUUUUUCUAUUGGAUAUCAGUGAGUUCUCUGUGAAUAGGCGGAUUGUAA